GACAGAGGGUGCAAACGUUGCUCGGAAUCACUGGGCGUAAAGGGCGUGUAGGCGGGAAGGAAAGUCAGAUGUGAAAUCCCCAGGCUCAACCUGGGAACUGCAUUUGAAACUCCCUUUCUUGAGUACCGGGGAGGAAAGUGGAAUUCCUGGUGUAGAGGUGAAAUUCGUAGAUAUCAGGAGGAACACCAGUGGCGAAGGCGGCUUUCUGGACGGUAACUGACGCUGAGACGCGAAAGCGUGGGGAGCAAACAGG
rnacentral:rRNA from 1 species